rnacentral:rRNA from 1 species
AAUGGGCGCAAGCCUGAUCCAGCAAUGCCGCGUGGGUGAAGACGGUCUGCGGAUUGUAAAGCCCUUUAGGCGGGGAGGAACGUCGUCGUGCGAACAGUGCGGCGAUCUGACGUUACCCGCAGAAUAAGCACCGGCUAACUCCGUGCCAGCAGCCGCGGUAAUACGGAGGGUGCGAGCGUUAAUCGGAAUUACUGGGCGUAAAGCGUGCGUAGGCGGAUGGGUCAGUCAGCCGUGAAAGCCCCGGGCUCAACCUGGGAACGGCGGUUGAGACGGCCCGUCUCGAGUGGGCUAGAGGAUCGUGGAAUUCCGGGUGUAGCGGUGAAAUGCGUAGAGAUCCGGAGGAACACCGAUGGCGAAGGCAGCGAUCUGGGGCCACACUGACGCUGAGGCACGAAAGCGUGGGGAGCAAA